rnacentral:rRNA from 1 species
AUUCGAUUAUCGUAUUACCGCGGCUGCUGGCACGUAGUUAGCCGUGACUUUCUGGUUGAUUACCGUCAAAUAAAGGCCAGUUACUACCUCUAUCCUUCUUCACCAACAACAGAGCUUUACGAUCCGAAAACCUUCUUCACUCACGCGGCGUUGCUCCAUCAGACUUGCGUCCAUUGUGGAAGACUCCCUACUGCCGCCUCCCGUAGGAGUUUGGGCUGUGUCUCAGUCCCAAUGUGGCCGAUCAGUCUCUCAACUCGGCUAUGCAUCAUCGCCUUGGUAAGCCUUUACCUUACCAACUAGCUAAUGCACCGCGGGGCCAUCCCAUAGCGACAGCUUACGCCGCCUUUUAAAAGCUGAUCAUGCGAUCUGCUUUCUUAUCCGGUAUUAGCACCUGUUUCCAAUCACUAGUGAAUUCGCGGCCGCCUGCAGGUCGACCAUAUGGGAGAGCUCCCAACGCGU